rnacentral:rRNA from 1 species
GGAUUUUCUUAGUAGCGGCGAGCGAAAAGAAAAUAGUUCAGCACUAAGUCACUUUGUCUUUAUGGCAAAUGUGAGAUGCAGUGUAUGGAAUGUCAAAUUUCUAGUAUGAGAAAUUAACGAUUUAAGUCCUUCUUAAAUGAGGCCAUUUACCCAAAGAGGGUGCCAGGCCCGUAUAACGUUAAUGAUUACUAGAUGGCAUUUCCAAAGAGUCGUGUUGCUUGAUAGUGCAGCACUAAGUGGGUGGUAAACUCCAUCUAAAACUAAAUAUAACCAUGAGACCGAUAGUAAACAAGUACCGUGAGGGAAAGUUGAAAAGAACUCUGAAUAGAGAGUUAAAUAGUACGUGAAACUGCUUAGAGGUUAAGCCCGAUGAACCUGAAUAUCCGUUAUGGAAAAUUCAUCAUUAUGAUUUUAAUAUUUAUAAUAUUAUAAUAAUGGUGUGCAUUUUUUCUAUAAAGGACAUUGUAAUCUAUUAACAUAAAUUAAUUUAUCAUAAGAUCAUUUGCGUAAGUUUAUUCAAAUUAUUUUGCUUGCAUUUUAAUAUCGAAUAAAUGCUUUUGAUUUGAUAAAGUGUUGAUAGAUUUAUUAUAUACAGUGCUUAAAUAUUUAUAUUUUAUAAUAGCAUAUUAAUCAAUGAUUUUUAUGUUCAUUAUAUGCACUUGUAUGAUUAACAAUGCGAAAGAUUCAGGAUACCUUCGGGACCCGUCUUGAAAC